CUGCGAAAACCUUAUAGUUGAAAAGAAAAGGGAAAGAAAAUUAACCAAUUUUACAUUCAACGACACAAUACUACAAAAACUUGCUUAUAGUAGUAACUUCCUCUCAUGGUGAUUUUGUUGGACCCUUAUCCUUUCAGCGAAAUCUAAUCAUAAUGCUAAGCACUCAUUCAGAUUUUUUCAAGUCGUCAUUUUGUUCUCUCUGCAUUGCAAUUUGGUACGAUUUACUCUUCCAAUAAACAAUGCGCUGGUUUUUAAAUGGAGAUAAGGGUAAAUUUUGAAUUUUUUUGAAUUUUUUUUAUUGUUUUAAUAUACUAAUAUAAAAAAAUAUUAUUUUAAUAUAUUUUUAAAUAAAAAAAUAUUUUAAAAAACAAUUCCUCAACCAUCCUAUUAACAAGGAAAAGAGGAAGAAGCGAGAAAAUACUCAUCAGUGCGAGCACCUCCCCCAGUAGGCAAAAGCUCGUGACAAGGGGAUAAGAAUCUGAAUAAUACAGACAAGCCCUCCUGCUCCUUGUCUCUCGGCUUUUCAACAUGCUCGGAAUCCUCAGCCUCUCAAAUUAUUGCAUCCAUCUCGAUUCAAAACACAACCACUGCCUCUCAACUUGCGUGUGCACACAGGCAAAUAUGGCCACGACCCAUGCUUGGUUUCUCUCUUUUGGAAAGCAAACUUGCCAUUUCCUUACUUAAUAAGUUACAAGAAAAUAAUAUAUUCGUUAUUAAAAGUUUAUAUAAUUAUUAAUUUUAAAAUUUAUAGAAUUAGUUAAAAUACACACAAAUUAAUUCGGACAGUUAUCUUAAUUAAAAAAUAAAAGUUACAGGAAAACUAGUGCAUUAAUCUCAAAACUGUUCCCUGUCGCACGCCUUAAAGUUUUAGAUUUUUUACUAACUUAUGCUUCCCUGUCAUUGAAAUUUGGUUUGCUUGUCGUUUGUCAUCAGGUACAGCACGACAUUGUUGCUUUCCACUUACCAUUUUGAGGACAUGAUCGAAAUGCUUUCCUUCUAAGUAUGUACUAACUUUGGCUAUUUAAUCCGUGAAACGUUGCGGGCUGUAAUUUUUUUAAUAAAAAAAAAUAUUAAUAAUAAUGAGAAGAGAAAUUUAAAAAAAUUAAAAAAUGAGUAUAAAUCAAGAUAUUUAAUCAUACAAAAUAAGAUAUUUAUCUGUUUAUAUUUGUUGAACUUGUUUAUUUAAAUUAAUAAAAAAUAAUAUAAAUAAAAAAACAAAUAGAAUUGAUUGAAUAAACUCAUACCCUAGAAAAUAUAUUACACAAGGCCAAAUAUAACAUAAAUAUUAUUUAAAAAUGAUUUUUUUUUUAUUUUGAAAAAUAAAUUUCAUUUGUAUAAAACCAAAAAAAAAAAUCAUGGAUGAAUUAGAAUAAUAUUUUCAAAAUCAAAUACAAACAAUUUUUUUUAAAAAAACUUUUAUUCAAAAAAGGCUUGUAAAACCUGUGAUCUAGGUCAUAAGACUGUGAUAAAUUUCUAGAAAAGAAAUUGAAGAUAAUCACAAAAACAAUCUGUAAAAAAAAACACUAAUAUAGAACGUUGAGAUAGCAAAAAGAAAAUGAGAAGAAAAAAAGAUAUUGAACGAUAUUAACUUUUCAAACACAUGGCCCGGGUCAUUAAACGGGAAGCACUAUAAAUGAAAAAAUUACGAAGUUCAAUUCCCAACAAAUCAAAAAUCAAAGAAAUGAAACCAUGAAAAAAAUUAGCAACACAAAAGAAUCUAAAAACUAUAUAAUUAAAAGAACAAGGUUGAAAAUUAAAAUAAAAAAAUAAAUUAGAGGGAAAACAAAAAACUACAAUUAGCAAAUGAAAAAAAUUAGCAACACAAAAGAAUCUAAAAACUAUAUAAUUAAAAGAAAAAGGAUGAAAAUUAAAAUAAAAAAAUAAAUUAGAGGGAAAACAAAAAAAUACAAUUAGAGGGUUACUGGAUUGAAAAAUAACUUUAACAAAAGGAAAAAACAAAUCAAGAGAAUUAAGGUCAAAUUAAAAAAAAAAAAAACAACAUAAACUUUGAUUGGAGGAUGAAAUUGAAAGCCACCAGAACUUUAGUAAUAGGGUCAGGGAAAAAAAUUAAAAAUCAAAAGAAUAAGGAUCAAAAUGAAAAAAAUAAUAUAUGAGAAAUUGUAAUUGAAAAACUAAAUUGCAAAUAAAUAAAUUUUUUAUAAAAGAAAUAUGAACAAAAAUAAAAAAUUAAAAGAAUGAGAAUUGAAAUUGAAAUACUAAGAAUAAAAAGGAUAAUCGUGCACCUUUUCUAGCAUUAGAGAGAGAGAGAGAGAAAAAAAAAAAAACCCCGGAGACACUCCAACAAUUAUAUGUCGUCAUGCGCCGCACUAGGAGGAAGAUGAUACAAUGAUACUUUUAAAAAAAUAGUAGAAGGUUAAGUUAGACCACUGGAUGACAUUGCACGCGCCACCCAAAUAACUUUAAAAAUUAAAAAAACUGUGUGAAAAAACAAAAACACCCCAAACACAUACCUUAUUUAUUGUCUUUCUAAUAUAAAAUGUGUUUUUUUACUGUAUACUAAGAAGGUAAAAACCAAAAAAACCAUUAGCCAAUAGCUUUAUAAUUUUUUAACCUUAGAGUGAAAAGGUAUUUUUAUUAUUUUAAAGUCUAAGAAAAGAUUAAAAAAAAAAACACAUGGUCAAACGGUUAUAUAUUUUGUUAAACUUAGGGGUAAAAGCUUAUUUUACUACAUAAAAUUUUUUAAAAAGAUAAAUAAGCCCCCGAAUAAUCUUUUAAUAAUCAAGAAUUUAUAUAAAAAAAACCAAACUACCCUUAGUACAAAACUUCCCAUUUUCUUAACUGAAUAAUAUAACGAUAAUUUUAUUAUAGCAAUCUUAGUACCUUGUUUAAUGAUAAAGUGAAAAACUCACGUAUAUAUUUUUCCUGUGAAUAUUCAAUUAUAUGGAAGAUAAGUAAGAGACCAACAUAAUCAUAAUUAACGAGAUGAUGACAUAAUUGGAUAAAUUGUCAUUUCUAAUCCAUAUUCUGAAAAAAAGAAAACCAUAUUCUGAAAAAAAGAAAACUAUAGACAAGUGUUAUAUAUAUAUAACCAUAGACUAGUUAACUAAUCUCAACACCAACCUUAAUUCAUCAACCCUUUUCAGUUAACAUUCAAGAACAACCUCAGUUGCUACAUAAAUCAGUAUUGAUGGUUUUAAGGAUUUAGAACUCUAGAUGCAAAAUCGCAGAAAAGUAGACAAUUUAUGAAGUUGGAAUUUCAUUUUUCAGCACAAUCUCGCCCGAGCUUCCAAAGCAGCCUUUAGCUCUCCACUUUUUUCCGACCACUGCAACGGAGAGUGCCCUCAACUUCCGGUUGACUGAAGGUAUAGAUUAAUCCAUGUACUUCCCUCAUUUCACAGCUCUUCUUUAAUUAUUUCAGGGGCCCAUGAAAAUAAAAGGAAAAGAAAGGAAAAAAGCCAAGAUAAUUAAUUUUGUCCAUGCAUUCUGCACUGACAUUGGGUAUACCUGUGAAGUAAACUGACAGACAUAGCAAGUGUCGGCGCUUCUACUCAUCCCAUCCCCUUGUCUCGUGACAGCACCUCCCUUUACUCUCCGGCGGGUUAAUGGUGGGCCUUUAGCCCUUUACUCUCUCAUCUUCGAUAUUCCUAGUUAUGCUUAUCUUAAUGACAUCCUCCUACUCUGUUUAUUAAUCAAUUGGUCUUUCCAUCAACUACUUGUUGAGCUCAGAGCUCUCAAGUGAAGAAAUUAUAAUAAGAUAGUUUUUCUCUUCCGCGAUGAAAUUGUAUUUUUAAGAAUUUUAUUUUUUGUGUUUUUAAAUUAUUUUAAUAUAUUAAUAUUUUUUUAAAAUAAUAUUAUUUAAUAUAUUUCUAAAUAAAAAUUAUUUUAAAAAUUAAAUGUUAUCAUAAUAACAAAUACCGCCUAAAUGGAGUCAAGUUUGAGAUUACAUGUAACUUAGGGAAGAGAUUUAAUUAAAUACAACUAUUUAUAAAAUGAUUAAUUGAAUAUAAAAUGAAGAUAAAAUAGAAACAUAAUGAUUGAAAUUAUAAUCAUACGACAUGUUAAUAAACAAUAUUCACACUACUAUUUAGUAGAUGAUUUAGCGGUAAGAGUUUGAAAUAAAAAAAUUUGAUCCUUCUAUGAUCAUAAGUUCGAGUAAUGUGAUUACUAAUAUGAUAAUCACUAGAAAUUUACAUGGUCGUUAACUUCAGCGCUUAUGUGAUUAGUCAAGGUAUGCGCAAGCUACCUCAAACACCCUUAUUAAUAAUAAUUAAAAAAAAAAACAACAUUCACAGUUGGUUGUGUUGAAAAAUAAUUCGAUUCUAAACAAACAUGAUUCUAAAACAUGGGCCUACACGAAACAACUUGUUUUUGUAAAAAUACACCGUAAAUAUGAAUUAAACUUGGAUGCCAGGACCCACUUUACAUGUCCACAGUCAAGGCAAAUCGAUUACGAGGACCAGACUAAGAUAAGUUGAGAAAUAAAGGGAUUAAAUGCACCAUUAAAUAAAAAUAAAUAAAUAAAUAAAACCAAAACCUCAACACCACACUACACUUUACAUUUGCGUAUGCUAAAAGAAGAAGCCACCACCACAACCCAUCUUCAGCACCAUGAAGAACCUCUCUCCUCCCCAUCACGCUCUUCUUUUCACUGCACUGCUCGCUCAAUUACCCCUGUUUCAGUCAAGCUACCACGAGUACCAAGAUGCAUUAUCAAAGUCCAUUCUUUUCUUCGAGGGUCAAAGGUCAGGCUAUUUGCCACAAGACCAACGCGUAACUUGGCGUGCUAAUUCAGGCCUAAGUGAUGGGUGGACAUAUAAUACAGACCUGACUGGUGGCUACUAUGAUGCCGGUGAUAAUGUCAAGUUUGGCUUCCCCAUGGCAUUCACAACUACAAUGUUGGCGUGGAGUGUGAAUGAAUUUGGAGACUUAAUGCCUCCGAAUGAGUUGAGAAACAGCUUAGUUGCCAUUCGUUGGGCCACCGAUUAUCUGCUCAAGACUGUUUCUCAGCCUAACCGGAUUUUUGUUCAGGUAAGUCAUAAGUGGCAUGGGACACUGUAGUUUUUCUCUCUCUUUUUGGUAAAUGCCAGGGGGUAGUUUUGUGAUUUUCUGGAUGGGUAGGGGUAGUCUGGGGAGUUGGGGUAUGUGAGUUGCGUCGGGCGAGGUUGAACUAAUCAGGAGUGAGUGAAGAAAUGUAGAUAUGUGGCCAAAUUGUGUAAAACUUGGUCGACAGAAUCAAAAUAUAAAUACAUUUUGUUUGAUGUUUUAUUUUGACCAAAAUAAUUUGAUUUGGCUGUUUAAUUAAUACUAAGUUCCUUAAGCUAUAGGUGGGGGAUCCAAAUGUAGACCAUAUUUGUUGGGAAAGACCAGAGGACAUGGAUACUCCUAGGAUUGUUUAUGCUAUAGGUAUGAGAGUUGCGUCGGGCGAGGGUGAACUAAUCAUGGAGUGAGUGAAGAAACGUAGAUAUGGGGCCAAAUUGUGUAACACUUGGUCGACAGAUUGUCCUGUACUGACUUUUUGGCCCCCACAAGUCACCCGGUGAAAUAUUAGGUUUGACCAGAUUAAGAUUUCACCUGCCUUCACACUGCAUUUAAGUGUGUGCUUGACACUCUCUGAUAUAGGUUUGGCUAAGUUCAUGGAUCCAAAUCCAUGAUUUGGAAGUUAAUGAAAGUUGUUUAAUCAACUAAAGCCAUCUACUCAGAGAGUGUUUAUUUAUUUUUUAUUCAAAUUAAUUUUGUUUUAUGACUUUAGAUUGAUUUAAUAUAUCAUAUUAAAAAUAAAUUAAAAAAAAUAAUGGUAGCUGGGGAGGGGGCCAUUUCCUUUUCAAUUUUCAUUGCCAUCAUCGGUUCUGCAAUGAUGCACGACAGUACUCUGUUGUCCUAGAAGGUCCAGGACUUGUAUGGGUCAAGAAAUUGGGCCCAUCAUGUUUAUGUUUCGUGGGGAAUAAGAAUUUAGCCUACGCUUUAAGACUGUAUAAUGCGCUUCACUUCCCUUGACGGGACGAUUGAUCUACCAUGAUUGUUUUGUUAAUUUCAAGGACUAAUUAAGCCCAUAGUGAUAAUUAAUCAGAAUCAAAACAUAAAUACAUUUUGUUUGAUGUUUUAUUUUGACCAUAAUAAUUUGAUUUGGCUGUUUAAUUAAUACUAAGUUUUUUACGCUACAGGUGGGGGAUCCAAAUGGAGACCAUAUUUGCUGGGAAAGACCAGAGGACAUGGAUACUCCUAGGGUUGUUUACGCUGUGGAUGCUCCAAACCCGGCAUCUGAUGUUGCCGGUGAGACUGCGGCAGCCUUGGCAGCUUCAUCUAUGGCAUUUCGAUCGUCGGACCCGGGAUAUGCAGAAACAUUACUAAGAAACGCCAUUAAUGCCUUCCAAUUUGCUGAUAGUUACAGAGGAGCUUAUAGUGACAACUCCAAUAUUAAAGAUGGUGCAUGCCCAUUCUAUUGCGAUUUUGAUGGUUAUCAAGUGAGUAGAAACUCUUUGAUGAUUUGAUCAAUUUGCAAUGCUGUCUGCGUGCUAAUUUCUUACCAUUUGUAGGAAUCAGACUAAUUUUAAGUACUCUGGAUAAAGGAUGUGUUAAAUUAUUAAAUUCAGACUGAUCUGAUUCUAUUUUGACUGGUUUCGUCAGGAUGAGUUGCUAUGGGGAGCAGCAUGGCUUAGGAGGGCAUCUUACGAUGACACUUACCUUAGUUUCUUACAAAACAAUGGGGAGACCCUGGGAGCUGAUGAAAAUAUUAAUGAAUUUGGGUGGGACAACAAGCAUGCUGGCCUUAAUGUUCUUGUCUCAAAGGUUAGUGGUAAAUUUGAACAAGCUUGCACACCUGAUUCUUUACACCAGUCUUGAAUCAAUUCUUUACUAUAAUUGAUUUCAAAGUUUGUUAAUUGAAUUCUUUUAUUUGAAAUGGGUUUUAAAAAUAUGAAAUUCAUUUUAUUUUACUUAGUAAAAACAUAUUAUUUACUUGAUUUGUCUUUGCUCCGACAUAAUUAAUUUAAAGCAUACGUGUGAGAGGAAGAGGAGAGAAAAGAGUGCUGAGAUUUAUUUUUGAUGGAUCAAUUCUGAAGUAAAUCACACAUUUUUUGGUGUGUAAUUUGCAAAAUUUCUUUUCAUUUCCAUAGGGUAUUUCUGGAGGUUAGAAGGCACCACUCUCGUCGCACAAAAUACACGGAAACCUCCAACACGUCUUCUAGUGCUAUACACCCGCCUGUUUUUUUUUUUAUAUAUAUAUUCAAAUAUCAAAUUACCCCUAGAUUAACAUGGUAAUAACAAAAAUAUCAUGUGAAAAGAUGGAAAAACUCAUUAACUCCGGUUUUAAAAUUUGUUUUUAAAGGUAUUUUGGUUCAUUUAUUAUGCUUUUUAAUUGUUUAUCAUUUUUUAUAUUUGAUCAAAUAUUAAAUUACCUUUCAGUUAACAUUAUAAUAACAAAAAAUCAUUGUAAAAAAAAUAUGAAAAUAUCCUAUAAUGCUAGUUUUAAUUUUUUUGUUUUCAAUGGUGUUUUUAUCAUUUCAUUAAAAAAUUUAUUUAUUCCCGAUUAAUUAAAUAAUGAUUAAUCGACAUUUAAAAACUAGUGUUAAGUUUUUUAGAUAAAGAAACAUAACUAUAAUUAUACUAUUUCAAUUAACAAUAUUUUUAAGUUUGCAUUUAUAGUUUUUUCGCAAGGAUGUUUAGAUUCAUUGAGAUUCUAUAUAUGUUAAUUUGAUUAUUGUGUGAUAGGAAGUUCUAGAAGGAAACAUGAACUCUCUCCAGUCAUACAAAGAAUCAGCUGAUAGCUUCAUGUGCACCCUCAUACCUGAAUCAUCAUCCUCUCACGUAGAAUACACUCCCGGUGGCCUAAUCUACAAGCCAGGAGGCAGCAACCUGCAGCAUGCAACAACGAUCUCAUUUUUGCUACUUGCUUAUGCAAAUUACCUGGAAAGAACAUCGCAAUCUGUCAAUUGUGGAAAUGUAAAUGUCGGUCCAUAUUCACUUCGGCAACAGGCUAAGAGGCAAGUUGAUUACAUUUUAGGAGAUAACCCUUUGGGAUUGUCUUAUAUGGUCGGAUAUAGCGACCAUUAUCCUCAACGGAUUCAUCACCGUGGGUCAUCGUUGCCGUCGGUUAAGGAUCAUCCUGAUCUUAUAGCUUGCAAAGAAGGUUCAAUCUACUGCAAUUCAUCAAACCCUAACCCUAACGUUCAUGUUGGGGCUAUUGUGGGUGGACCUAGCGAAGAUGAUUCAUACGAAGAUAGUCGAGAUGAUUUUAGAAAAUCCGAGCCAACAACGUAUAUUAAUGCACCAUUUGUUGGUGUGCUUGCUUAUUUUGCAGCAAAUCCCAGUUUUAGUUGAGGCAAACAGAGCUCAAUUUUGCACAUAAACCAGUGUUUAUUGGCAUUUAAAAGUCGGAGGAAUGUCUCUCAUCCUGGCGAAAGCAAAGAGGGUGGAGGCUUGGUAGCUGCUGAAUUGUUAGCACUGGAUCACGAAGAAUCGUCGUGACUUCUUACAAAGGAUAAGGAACUGAUUUUGAGAUGUAAAAUCCCAUUCUGGCUUUAAUUAAUCUGAUACAAGGAAAUGAAAUCUUCCAUUUUCUUGCGAGUUGCCUCAUCUUCCAUUUUCUUGAUAUUUCAUUUUCAAUUUAGUUGUAAGAACAGAACAUUCGCUGGCCGGCUUUCAAUCAAUUGAAAGACAUGUGAUGUGUUUCGUGACUUUAUAGGCAUCCCCUUUACAGAUUCCUGCCUGUGAAAAUUUAAUUCCGCUCUUGAAAAGCUUUCGUUCAAUUUACCACUUUUUAGUGGGCUCUUGACUCAAAAGCCACUUAGCUUCUCUUUAAUUUUUGUGUGUUCUUAGGUCAGCUUUUGAGAUUAACUAGAUUUGAUGCCCGUUAUCCACUCCAGUGGGACAAAAACAAUUUCUAUGUAAAAGAUAGAAAAAUUUGAGAUAUGAGUUAAUGAUUUAAUUGAUAAUUUAAAUAAUAUGAAUAAAAAAAAUAAAAUAACAAAAGAAAUUGACAAAGAAAUAAUAAAGAAAAAAAAAUAGACACGAGCUCAUUUGAAUUAUUAAACAGUCCAAUGUUAAAAAGAUGAAACUAUAAAAAAAUAAAAAAAAAUAAGAAAAACCUGUUAAACUAGGUGAACUUACAAAUUUCACGAUCAUGGGUAUAAGAGAAAAUUUUUUGAAAAAUAAAAUUAAAAUAAAUCAAUUUAAAAAAAAACAAAAGUCAAUCCAUAUUGACUUUUGAAAUUAGUGAACCUCUUAAACUUGUUUUAAUCUCUAAAAUUCACAAUCCGUGAAAUCUUGAACCCGAAUUCAAUCAACUAAUUUAAUUUUGAAGGAUGAAAUCACAAAAAAAAAAAAUUACAAAGCAAAAAAGGUGGCAAUAAAAAGAAUAAGAAUAAAGAUAAAAUUUGAUAGAAAAACCUUAAGAAGGGUGAAAUUGUUAAAACAAAAAACCAAUUUAAAAAGAUCCCAAAUAAAACAAAUAACAAAAAAAAAAAAUGAUGACCUGAGUUUUAUCUUCGGUUAAUCGGGUUAUAGAUUAACCUGAGUUUUUAACCGAAUCAGGUUGAAUGAAUCUUUUUUUUUUUAUUUUAAACUCAAACCAAUCCAAAUCUUGGAUCUAUCAUUCAUAAAAUAAAACAAAUUAUCUAGUGAAUUUAAAAUACAUAGGAUAAGACAAUUAUCUGUCCAGUCCAGUCCAAUAAAUACUGUGCAGCUUAAUCUUAUUCAUUCCUCUUUUUUUUUCUUAUCCUGCUAAUUAAAACGCGUAGCAUGAUAGCGGGGGUGUGAGAAAUGUUUACUAGAGUAUGCAAAAUUGGCCAAAUGGCCAGAUGAUCAUUGCUAAAGAUCGUAAGGAGAAAGGCUGAAAGAGCAAUGACAUUGACACCUACUGAACAUGGCUGGCUUAUUUCACGUUAUGAACCAAGUUUCUCUUUUAUGAAUGGUUAGACAUUGAUUUCUUGGAUCAUCUAACGUUAGUAAAGUUCAUUUAUUGGCCCAACACCAGUCAUUUUGUUCCCUAUCUACCGUAUUCAACUGGUUUCACCAUUAUAUCAAGAAAAUGGAAGAUGAGGCAACUUGCAAGUUCAUCAAAACAAUGAGGCGUGGUUGCCAAAAAUUGAUAAACCAACACAGGUUCUUUUAUUUUGAUCUGGUAAACAAGUUAAUGGGAUUCUCGAGGUGUUAAGCUUGGAUGGUUUGUAGAUUUACUUACUCAUUUGCUUAUCAUUUUGGUUAAGAUUUAGAAGAUAAAUAAAAGGAGGAAUUUUUUUAUAUAUAAAUAAAUAAAUCAAUUUGGACAUGGAUGUAAGAGAAAGAAGCUGGUCCAAAAAUGCUUCACGACAGAGAGCUAUCCUUCUGCUCUCCUCUCUCAAGAACUUCAGGUCUUCAACAGACGUUUGCCGGGUAGCUGCGUAAAAAUGGAGUUGGAUUAGUGGGCCUAAAAAAGGUUUUAUGGGCUUGUUCGAACCGCUCAAUUAACUGGGCUCAAUACAGGAUCUAUUCCAAAAGCUGAAAAGGGAAUGUCCAAAUCGCUCAACAUCAAUGAAUAGGAAUAAUUUCUUAAUGAAAAUUAAAUUUCAAAUUUACCUGCCAACAACUUGUCAACAAUCCGUUGUAGUCUAGUUGGUUAGGAUACUCGGCUCUCACCCGAGCGACCCGGGUUCAAGUCCCGGCAACGGAAAUAAUUUCUUUUUCCGGGCAAACAACAAAUAUGCAGCCUUCUAUUCUUAUAUACGCCCUAAAAACAGAGGGCAAUGAGAAUAAACUAAAAAAAUUGGCUCGCCGUUUUGACAAACAAGAAAAUGAGCAGAUCCAUUAACAAAUGCACGAAAAUAACCCAAGAGCCCAAAUUGAUCAAGAACACCCACAACGCUUCUCCAGGCGCUACUGCUAAGUGUGCAUAUCUCAGCUUUCAAUUCUUCAGUGUAAAUAUCUCUAUAAUAACUUUCUUCCAUAGAAAUCUAGUGCAAAAGAUCCUCCCUUUUCAUAGACUAGAACACUAGUGUACUCAUAUGUAACUGCAUUUUAUGUGCCGAACACCAUUAUCUUGACAAGAGCAAAACAACCCUCUACACGAAUUGCUUAAAGCCAGCGAAUUGGGCCAGCAAUUGAGCUCUCGUAGCGAGAUUAAAAUCGUUGGUUUCUCCUUGAAAUUCAAGUCAAUAAAACAUAAAACAUAGUAGUCCUUCUAACUUUAAAAAACAUUAAAAUAAUAUUUUUUUUAUUUUUAAAAUUUAUUUUUAAUAUUAAUAAAUCAAAACGAUUUAAAAAUAUAUAAGAAAAUUAUUUUGAAGUAAAUAAAAAAAAAAAAUUUUAAACAUGAAAACAAACAGACUCCAAGAAAAAAGUUAGUUUUUACUCUAUCACGGCAAGGAAGUUGUUUUUUUUUCUUAUUCAGGUUGUUAUUGGGCUAUUAGCCCAAUAUAAUAAAUAUAAAGUUUUGUUAUUAGGCUAAUGGAUCAUCGGCCUAAAAAUACUAUUUGAACCUACUUGUAAGUUCUAACUAAAGCUACUAAGUGUGUGCUUGAGAGCGUGGUUGCGGUUGUUUUUCAAAGUGUUUUUCACCCAGAAAUGCAUUAAAAUAAUGUUUUUUCAUUUUUAAAAAAUUAUUUUUGAUAUCAGCGCAUCAAAACUAUUUAAAAACACCAAAAAAAUAUUAAUUUUAAACAAAAAAAUUCAAAAUUUUUUGGAACGCCGGUUGGACCACGUUCCUAAACGGUCCCAAAACUAGUAAACCAAAUGACAACACAUCAUAGGCGUUGCAACAACAGAAUCAAGCAUUGUCUCUCUCUUCAUCUUCUUCCUUUUAGAAACUUCAAUUGCAAUAACCAAUUUUAUCAGCUAAGAAUUAGGGUUUUUUCUUCAAAACAGUGCAUUUCACAACUCUCUCUCUCUUCACCUCUCUCAUGUAUUAGGCAUUUGAUGGAUUCAAAUAAAAUAAACCUAAAAAAAUCCUCCAAAAUAUAUUCAAGAAAAUCCUUAAAAAAAACAAAAAAAAAUCCAGCAAACAUGGGCUCGGGCAUGGUAGCUCGAGCCCAGCUCCCAAAAAGCAUGGGCUCAAGGAAAGAGCCCGAGCCCAUACACCAGGAACAUGGGAUCGGGCAAGUAGCCUGAGCCCAUGCCCCCUUCAUGGGAGCAUGGAUGCCUAGUGCAUGGGCACUAUACAGUGUACUGGGCGCCCGCCUAAUGCACCCUAGUGAGCAUACGCCCAUGUAGGGCGUACACGCAGCUGGUGCUGGGUGUGCACCCCCAACACCCUUGUAGACUUAGGCUGUCACACCUGAGCCCAGCAUGUUUGGGUCUAAACAACACGCCCAUGUCCACUUUCUCCUCUAAUGGGCUCAAGCACCUUGCUCGAGCCCAACACUCGCUAGAAAAUUGUUUUCGAACCCCAUGCUGGUUUUUCAGUAUUUUAUACUGAUCAAAUACAUAUUAUUUUGACUAGAAUACAACUCAAAAUAUCACAAGGAUGAAAUUACACUUCAGCCCUUUCUCUCCAUAAAAAGACAAGAUUUAUGAGCUAUAAAUAUACCAUGAAUCAUUCAAGUCAAAGAUUCAUAGUCUCUUCAUUUUCAACAUUUUUAGCAUACAUAUUUUCAUAGUCUAUCUCUCUAAAAUAUCAUUGCACUUUCUCUUUUUACAAAGUUACUGACUUUCCAUAAAAAGACAAGAUUUAUGAGCUAUAAAUAUAUCAUGAAUCAUUCAAGUCAAAGAUUCACAGUCUCUUCAUUUUCAACAUUUUUAGCAUACAUAUUUUCAUAGUCUAUCUCUCUAAAAUAUCAUUGCACUUUCUCUUUUUACAAAGUUACUGACUUUACAAUUAGAGAGGCAUCACGUCCAUCAAAGAUAACUUUUUGUAAAUAUCAGCUAUCGGUCACCUAACUUAACAGGCACCACCUACUACUACUAUAAUUACUGGUCACUUGCCUUAUCAGGCAUCACUUACUGCUACUUACCAACCCUCUAGACUUUUCAUAUCAAGUCAUCAGAUACCUUGAUUAUGAAAAAUGAGUCAGAUUGCUUGAAUUAAAAAGUUACCUAAUUAUUCAAUACAUCAACCUUAUUUUUAAACAUCCUGAAAUUUGAAACUCAUCAGCAUCCAUCAUUGAUAGGUUCUUACUUCAAAAUUGCCGCAUUGGAAACCUCUAGUUGAUUUUUAGUAAGAGACACCAACUUUAAUUGUCGAGCUUAGUUAGUAACAAUGCUAAAAUCUUGCGUCUAGUUUGUUAGAAAUUCAACAAAUUUCAUGUUAUUGUUAAUUAUUUUGCCCUAAUUGUAACUACUAUUUUUUAUGAUGCAUUUGUUGUCUAUGCAAACUUUUUCGUAGGGUCAUACUAGAGUGUGUGUGUGUCUAUAUAUAUAUAUAUUUAUUUAUUUUGUUAGUAGUGUGCUUGCUAACUAGGAAUGGGAAUUGCUGUCUGAUAUGACUGAAUGAUAAUGCUUGUAAUAGUCUGAUGAUGAGUUUCAUUGCAAGGGGGCUGAAUGUUAUGAUUAACAUAGGUAAAGGUAUGGUUACGGUUCUAGAUAAUUAUAUUGCUGGAAUGGUAGGAUUCCAAGUGGCUUUAUUUCUGUCUUGGCUUCUGUAUUCUUUGAUACUGGACAAAUGCUGGGAUUUGAGUAUCUUCCGUGGCUACUGUGGGUUGUGAUGGCUUGCCGCAUACUCUCAUUGUAGGACAAGAUAAUUAGAAAGCUCCCCUUUUGCAAUAAUUUUUUUUAGGACAUCCGUUUCUCUCAGCGUGUGAGCUGGCCUGUGUUCUUGGGAAAGUUGGUUUUAUUCGAAGGAAAUGCAGUGCGCUUAUCAUUAAUAGAAAGAGAAAAUGAGUUUUCUGCCUCUGGUGGACUAGAUGUAUUAUUUGAACCAUAUUUUGAACUGUGAUGGAAGCGCUCUUCGACUAGAUAAUUGUGCAGGGCAAUGCCACCUUGGAGGCCUCAUUGCUUAGGACAAAAUGUAAUUUGCAUGUCCUCACUAGAAAAUUAAUUUGUCUCUGCCUCUUGAGUUUUUAUGGUUGUGCAUCAACCUGUUUUCCUUCUUGUUUAUUGACGUUGCUUCCUACAUAUCUUUAGCCAUGACUGCUGGUGAUAGUGAGAUGGUACAAGGCUCUAUUUCUUCUGUUCUUGUUGAUUCGUUGGAGUCUAAUGAGAACGGAGAUGUGCUUUCACCUGAAGAUGUAGCUUGGGUUGAUUCUUGCCUUGUUAAAGAUCCUGAAAUUUCAGAUGGUACUGACUGGAGUUCUCUGAAAGAUGUUUUGCUAGAAAUUCUCAGUCUGCAGCCAGAGUCACAUGACUCUUCUGAACCUGGAAAUGAUGACUUGCCUAGAGGAACUGACAUUCUGAUGCAUCUAUCCAAUGAAACAGAAAAUUUACAGUCACGUGUAGUAACUGAUGAUGAGGUAGGUCUCUACAACUGAUAAAGAAAUACAAAAAAGAAGCAACGGUUUUCCAAUCAACGAGGAGAUUGAUGUUUCAUCAUCACAACUCUUUCAGGGAGAUCUCUCAGAAACUUCUCUCGAACAUGCCUUCUCGCCUAAUUGCAAGGAAGAUGACGACUCAACGAUGUGUCUGCCUGCAGGUUCAGGACUUGAUAUGGGUUUUACAGCAUCUGAUAUUGAGCCAUCAACUGAGGAUAUCUUUAAGGUUUGGGGUUCGGGCAUGGAAGAUGAGGAAGAUGAGCUUAUCAAACAGUUGAACAAGGCGCUUGCUGAAAAUCCUGUUCAAUCCACUCCAUCAUCAUCUGAUGAUUCCGGACCACGGAAAGAUUUGAAAGAGGAGUCCCUUGAUACUUUGACUCAUGGCAUUGCUGACCUGUCUUUGGAUCAACAUUCUUGACUUUACUUGACAUUGUUGACAACAUUGUACAUUUUAUAAUUUCAACUUCGUUGCACGUCUCCUGCUUCUAGCAACCGCUUUUAAUUUUGACGGACGUAGUGUUUAGAGUUCUGCGUAAGUGUGAAAUAUUUUUACAUAAGCAUUCUAUUCAACCGAAUGAAUGAUGGACCGGGCAACCUUAAAUUUAGUUGUUGUCUCUGAAAUACUGACAUGUACAUUUAAGAUUUUAUAUCUACUUCUGAUGUUCAUAUUAUACAAUGCAUUACCGUCCCAAUGAACUUGACAGGGGCUUUCCAUGACUGAAAUCUCACGUCCAAUUGAAUUCUGUACUAAUUGUGAGGAGCCGCAGCCCUACUCACAUGAUUCUCAGUUCUCGUUCUUCAGGCUUCUGCAACUGAUGUUCAGAACCACCAGUUUGACCAACGACCACGUUGAGCAAGGAAUCAAGAAUUAAGGUUCUAAUUUGUCUAAAGCCGUACUGGGGAUCCUUUAACCAAAAAACGUUGGCAAUUUGGUGCCUCUGCCAUGAAUCUAUGCUAUUUUAGUGGGUCCUUCAAAUGGAACCACCCAGUGAUAUUACCCACUAUGGGGCAUAGAAACUCGAGCCCAUCACAUAGAAAGCUGAUAUGGCAAGCUAUCUACCGUUGAGAGGGGAAUCAUAGACUAUCAAAUUUGGCUAUUAAACAAUGGCCAUUAAUCAAAUGAAGCUAAGAAACAAAACAGGAGAGAUUACAACCUCAUAUUUACUCUCCAGAGAAAUCUCCCAAGCGACACUGAUUUGGACUCGGUAACAUAGUGAAUGGGAUGCAGUUGUCUGUUCUUCUUGACAUAGAAGAGAAAAUAUCAGCUUUAUGACUCCAUAAUUUCAUUAAUUUACGAGGUGGGAAUAAAACCAUCUAUUUCAACCACGCAUACACAAAACAAAGUGUACCGUGCUAUAUAUAUCAUCCACGUGGCAAAUUGUUAUUUGUCGAUGAAGGACAGCCUCAAAUGUGACAUCUUGUGAUAACAUGGAAGCCAAAUAUAAAUUCGUGGAAGUGCAUGCAUGUGUGGUAAAGAGGCACAAGAUAGAGAGGAGAUAAGAUAUAGACACUUGUUAUAGGCUAUCUUGCACUGGCAGUGUAGUCUCCUAUCAGCAAAAACAGAAAAAAGAAAGAUGGCCUCGGCAUCAUUUCUCAAGUCAUCACCAGUUCUAGACAAGUCUGAGUUUGUUAAGGGUCAGACCCUCCGCUUGCCUUCUGCCUCCAUUGUCCGGUGCCGCUCCACCGCCCCUUCUGCUCUUACCGUUCGUGCUGGUUCCUAUGCUGAGGAGCUUGUCAAAACCGCGGUAUGUUAUAUUGUUACAUCUUUCAAUCACUUUAGCUGGAGUUAGAGUAGACACUUGCAAAAAAAAUAUGACAUGCAAUGACUUUGUCAUACAUGAUAGUGUAAAGCACAGGCUUUAAGUAGAAAGUGAUAGUACUUCUCUUGCCAGCUUUAAGUCCAUGAUAUAAGACACUGCCCUUUUAGGUUUUUUGGGUAAAUGAGACCGCACUUAUCUGUUCUUGUUUCUGGAUGUAGAAAACAAUUGCAUCUCCUGGCCGAGGUAUUUUGGCCAUGGAUGAGUCUAACGCUACCUGUGGAAAACGUCUCGCCUCAAUCGGGCUAGAGAACACCGAGGCUAACCGCCAGGCAUACCGUACCCUUCUUGUGACAGUCCCUGGCCUUGGUGAUUACGUCUCUGGUGCCAUCCUUUUUGAGGAGACUCUCUACCAAUCCACCACUGAUGGCAAGAAGAUGGUUGAUGUUCUUGUUGAGCAAAAGAUUGUUCCCGGCAUCAAAGUUGACAAGGUAAUACUCCGACACAUGUCUCCUAACAUUAAAUUUUCACGAAUUCAGAACUUUUUUUAUUGAAAUUAAACUCGUGCUUUAUUCUUGUCAUUGAGUUAACUAAAUUUGAUAGUAUAGGCAAAAGAGUAUACAUCUUAUUGUUUAUUGAACAAAAUUUUAGUAACUUACAGUUUGAAAAAUGAAAACAAUAGGGUUUGGUGCCUCUAGCUGGUUCCAAUGAUGAGUCAUGGUGCCAAGGU
rnacentral:lncRNA from 1 species